AUUGAACGCUAGCGGGAUGCCUUACACAUGCAAGUCGAACGGAGUGGCGAACGGGUGAGUAAUGUAUCUGAACGUGCCCAGUAGCGGGGGAUAACUACGCGAAAGCGUAGCUAGUACCGCAUACUAUUGGAGCGGCCGGCAUGGGAUUAGCUAGCUGGUGGGGUAAGGGCUAACCAAGGCGACGAUCCGUAGCUGGUUUGAGAGGAUGACCAGCCACACUGGGACUUAGACACGGCCCAGACUCCUACGGGAGGCAGCAGUGGGGAAUUUUGGACAAUGGGGGAAACCCUGAUCCAGCCAUCCCGCGUGUGCGAUGAAGGCCUUCGGGUUGUAAAGCACUUUUGGCAGGGAAGCGGUACCUGCAGAAGAAGCACCGGCUAACUCCGUGCCAGCAGCCGCGGUAAUAC
rnacentral:rRNA from 1 species